rnacentral:rRNA from 1 species
GCAACCUGCCCCAGGCUUUGGGAUAACCCCGGGAAACCGGGGCUAAUACCGAAUAUGACCKCYGAUCGCAUGGUUGGUGGUGGAAAGUUUUUCGGCUUGGGAUGGGCUCSCGGCCUAUCAGCUUGUUGGUGGGGUGAUGGCCUACCAAGGCGACGACGGGUAGCCGGCCUGARAGGGCGACCGGCCACACUGGGACUGAGACACGGCCCAGACUCCUACGGGAGGCAGCAGUGGGGAAUAUUGCACAAUGGGCGGAAGCCUGAUGCAGCGACGCCGCGUGAGGGAUGACGGCCUUCGGGUUGUAAACCUCUUUCAGCAGGGACGAAGCGUAAGUGACGGUACCUGYWGAAGAAGCGCCGGCCAACUACGUGCCAKCAGCCGCGGUAAGACGUAGGGMGCGAGCGUUGUCCGGAUUUUAUUGGGCGUAAAGAGCUCGUAGGCGGSCUUGUSGCGUCGACUGUGAAAAACCCGCAKCUCAWCUGCGGGCCUGCAGUCGAUACGGGCAGGCUAGAGUUUCGGUAGGGGGAGACUGGAAUUCCUGGUGUAGCGGUGAAAUGCGCAYAUAUCAGGAGGAAACACCGUGGSCGUGGCGAAGGCGGUCUCUGGCCGAWACUGACGCUGAGGAGCGAAAGCGUGGGAGCGAACAGGAUUAGAUACCUKGUAGUCACGCUGUAAACGUUGGGCGCUAGGUGUGGGGGGCCUCUCCGGUUUCCYUGUGCCGCAGCUAACGCAUUAAGCGCCCCGCCUGGGGAGUACGGCCGCAAGGCUAAAACUCAAAGGAWUUGACGGGGGCCCGCACAAGCGGCGGAGCAUGCGGAUUAAUUCGAUGCAACGCGAAGAACCUUACCUGGGUUUGACAUGGCCGCAAAACUGUCAGAGAUGGCAGGUCCUUCGGGGGCGGUCACAGGUGGUGCAUGGCUGUCGUCAGYUCGUGUCGUGAGAUGUUGGGUUAAGUCCCGCAACGAGCGCAACCCUCGUUCGAUGUUGCCAGCGCGUUAUGGCGGGGACUCAUCGAAGACUGCCGGGGUCAACUCGGAGGAAGGUGGGGAUGACGUCAAGUCAUCAUGCCCCUUAUGUCCAGGGCUUCACGCAUGYUACAAUGGCCGGUACAAUGGGCUGCGAUACCGUGAGGUGGAGCGAAUCCCAAAAAGYCGGUCUCAGUUCGGAUCGGGGUCUGCAACUCGACCCCGUGAAGUCGGAGUCGCUAGUAAUCGCAGAUCAGCAACGYUGCGGUGAAUACGUUCCCGGGCCUUGUACACACCGCC